rnacentral:lncRNA from 1 species
GUUGACAAUUCAUUUCUGUCUCCACAAUUUGUCUAUAAAAAUGACCUAUGUUUACAUUGCUCAUCACCAACCUAGCCCUCUUUGAUGGAUAUGAAAAUGAACAGCUCAUCUUUGCGCCAGCUGCUCCUGCUUCUCCUGGCUUUCUCUCUUCUUCUCUCCACCACUGCCGCAGUUCCUACUUCCCGUAAGUACAAAAGCAUACUCACUAUUUCGGUAAUGUUUAAAAACGAAUGUUAGAAUAUAAUAUAUGCAUGAUUGUUCUGCAUUCUUCUUCUAACUCCUCGAGAUUUUAGAAACGCAACGUUAAUCUGGCUAUAUGCGGAUGAAUGUCUCUUGUAUUGGUUCCAAGUAUUCACCUUAACCAUGUUACACAUAUAUCAACUCAUACCGAAAUCCACUCUGAAACCUCAGAAACAAAUUGUUAAAAUAUUAUAGUUUCAUAUAUCAUUUUCUGAUACAUGAAUAGACUGUGUACAAAGAGAAAUUAACUUUUUGAGCGGAAAGAGUUGAGCAUAUUUAAGUGGCUUGAUUAUAAGUGCAUAGGGAUUAAUCUGUAACACAAAGAUGUUAUGAAGCAAGAAAUGAUAACAUUCAUGUCAUUGAUCAACAGGGAGCCUUAAAUCGAUCAAGGAUACAUCUGCACUUCAAGGCUUACAUGAUGAGGUUCCUCCCCUCUCUUUGUCUAUUUCCUCGCUCUUAUUGAUAGCAUCAGCAUCAACAAUUAAACACAUUACGAACCUAUUCAUUAGGUGACACUUCACCCAUGCUUCUUAUGUGUUAAUAUGCUGGUAUUAAAGUAGUACAAGAUGGGAUCCCAUUAUAUAUCCUCUUCUUCCUUACAUAUAUUUUCGGUGAUUCUUACCUGGUAUAAAGUAGCAGAAAAUGGGAUCUAAUCAUCCUCUUCUUUCUUCCAUAUUUUUUUAGUGAAUCUUUUGGCUUAAUUAGAUAUCUGAACAAUGAGUUAUUGUCUCGUUCUGAUAUUAGAAAUUAUAUGAAAUGAUACCUUUCGUGUUUCAAUAAAUUAGGAAGUAUAAAGUCACCUGUUUUUUCUAUUUGUAAGUUGAGAAUUGGCUUGUGCAGGUAAUGGCAAAUAACGGGGAGCUACUGGUGGUUGAGGAAAUUGCGAUGGAGGGAAGAAUGGAUUUGGAAAAUACAGACUACCCUGGAACAGGUGCAAACAACCGACAUGACCCCAGGUCUCCAGGCAGAUUCUAAACGAAUGCAUGUAGCUUCAUCAAAUCUCUCCAUCGACCUUUCGUAGUAUUAUUAUUUUAUGUAAACGUGCUUGUGAAUUAAGAAGAAUCUAAUCCAUAUAUAUAUAGGGUCUUAUUCUAUUACAAACCAAUUCUCAUCUACAAACUAAAAACCAGACCCAACAGGACACGGAAUCACUAAAAACACCAGAUUAUUCACUAAAUAUUACACCCUCCCAAUACCAGAUUCAUACGUAUAUACACAUCAACUUCCAAUCAACGCCACCACCACCGAUUCCCAGCCACCAUUAUAGAUUCCGACUACCACCGAACUCGUCAAUUUAUUACAAAUAGGGGGGCAUUAAUUGAUUCAUUAAAAAUUAUAAUUAAAAAUGUAUAAAUUCGUGUUUGAAGAGUUGAAAGGACGAGAAUGGUGGUGAUGGGGCUCAUGGUGAUGGUCGGAGUCCUCGUGGUGAUGGUGAUUUUGAACCAUGGAGUGGGGGUGGGGGCUGGUGGGGAUCCAGGUUUUCUGGUAUAAUGUGAGUUUAUUAUUUAGUGAUUAAUCGAUCUGUUUUAGUAGUUCCGUGUCUUAUGUAAGUUUAUUAUUUAGUGAUUGCGCCGCUUGUUUUAGUGAUUGCGCGUCUGGUUUUUAGUUUGUAGGCGAGAUUUGGUUUGUAUUUGAGCAAAUGCCUCUAUAUAUAUAUAUGUUCACUCUUUUUAAUUACUGUACCACCUGCCCGCAUCAUUUUGUAUAUGGUUUUCCUUCAUCAUAUUUAUUUUAUAUCUAUUUACACCUAUAUCUUGCUGUAUAUAGUACUCUUGAUCACCAAAAAUCUAGGACCUCUAUAUUUUAAAUAAAAAUUUGAAAGAUGUAUAUUUAACGUAUUUGUGAAAUAAAGAUUUAGAAAUGGAGAAUUUCGGGCCCGUUAUUGUUUGGAGGCGGUCCCAGAUGUGUAUUAGUUCUACCAUAAUCAUUCUUGUCAAUGUUGAAUUGAGCGGAUGAGAAUUAUCAAAAUAGCAGAAAAUAUAUAUCUUCAAAAAAAAAUCAAAUUUUUUAUAAUUGAUUUGUCAAAAAAAUUGGAUCAAAAUUACACAUUGGUCUUCUUGUAUCUCCCUUUACUCCGUUAGCAAUAAAUAGUUUAAGCAACAAACAAAUCUCCAAAUCAACCAUAGAAUAGUUUUAAUCUCGGCCUUAUUUCCUUCACCGAUUAAAUAUGAACAAUAACUAUUAUUACAGUAAUCGUGUAACUGAGAGAAAAUAAGAUUGAGGUCAAAGAGCAGGAACUCUUUUCACAUACUUAUUUCACAAAUCUUUUCGGUUGUAAAUAUAUAAAUACCCAGUUCACCGCAUGUAUUCAUAGGACCAAAUAAAUACAUUGAAUUGGUACAAUCAGAACACCAACGGAUUUCAAUGAUUUUUCAUAUCGACUUAAUAACAAUAUUUAUUUAUUCUGUUAAAUGUAUAGAUAUCAAGGUUGGCUUCCAGUAUUUAUUGUUGCUGGAACCGGGAUAUUCAGUACUGGUGCUUGAGUUUGCAUUGGCUUCGGGUGUCGUUGAUGGUGAG